UAUGACCACCUACCAUGCAAUAUAUUUUGAUUUAAACCUAAAUCAACCAUUCAACUUCCCCUGCAUGCCAACUAUAUAUAUGGUUGCCCCAUAUAAACAGUACUCACACUGCAACUUCAAACUAUCAAGCACCAAUAUUCUACAGCAUUAAUGGCAGACACGAAGGUGAGCUUGAAGAUUCUAAUAGACACAAAGAAGGGCAUGGUGGGUUGCCUUGGUAACCUAUAUGACAGCAUUGAAAAUCUCAGUCAAACCUACAUACUGCCAAAUCAGGACAAGGACUCACUUCUCAAACCCAAUGCACCAGCCUUAAGUCAUGGCCCUCUUUUGUUAACAAGUGAUGCUCAGGUACCCACCUCAUCAAAGAAGUUCUAUAUCUGUUCUGCUGUCAUAGAAGUAUGGCUGAUGAUAACUCUGCCACUUGCCUUAGUUGCCGGCGCUGCACAAGCACUGAGGUGAAUUACAUUGCUCCUCCGGCUGCAAAUCAGUCCUCUUCCAAUGAGGGAGGGUUUGUGAGGGGGGUGGUGACAUACAUGGUGAUGGAUGAUUUGGUGGUGAAGCCUAUGUCUACCAUUUCUAGCAUUACUCUCCUCAACAAGUUCAAUGUGAAGGAAGUGGGUGCCUUGGAGAAAGUCGUCGAUUUUACCAUGGCUGAGGGUUUGAAGCUGCUGAAGGCAUCACUGCAGUCCAAGGCAGUCUUAACUGGCCUCUUCCUUGGAACAUAGGGGCUUAAUCAAGCAUUCCAUUGAAAAUGACUCUUUGGACUUUGAGAGUUUUUGGGGAACUGAUGAUGGGUUUUGUUUCACACCACCAUAUUUUGACUCAG